AGUGAACGCUGGCGGCAGGCUUUACACAUGCAAGUCGAACGGUAACAGGCCUUCGGGUUCUGACGAGUGGCGAACGGGUGAGUAAUGCAGCGGAACGUGCCCAGAGGUGGGGGAUAACGCAGCGAAAGCUGGGCUAAUACCCCAUAUGAUCUGAGGAGGAAAGCGGGGGACCAAGCAGCAAUUUUUGGCCUCGCGCCUCUGGAGCGGCCGAUGUCGGAUUAGCUAGUUGGCGGGGUAAAGGCCUACCAAGCCGACGAUCUGUAGCUGGUCUGAGAGGACGACCAGCCACACUGGAACUGAGACACGGCCCAGACUCCUACGGGGGGCAGCAGUGGGGAAUUUUGGACAAUGGGCGCAAGCCUGAUCCAGCCAUGCCGCGUGCGUGAAGAAGGCCUUCGGGUUGUAAACCGCUUUUGUACGGAAAGAAAAGGCUCUGGCUAAUACCUCGCGCUGAUGACGGUACCGUAAGAAUAAGCACCGGCUAACUACGUG
rnacentral:rRNA from 1 species